UUGUUAUAGCUUUGUCUGUUGCCUCCUUCAAAAUGAUGUCAGGAGAAAUCUGCAGGUCCUGGCCUUGUUAGCUAGCUACAGCUAACUUUCUUCAUAUAACAAAAAAAAAGCACUUCAGGUAGUAAGCUUAACUACUAAAUAGUGUUAGCUAAAUUAAUUUGGUUUUACAUCAUGAGAGACAAUAAAUCAUAUCAAACGAUGAUGGCACAAUAAAGUAAAAGACAAGUAGUUCAAUAUGACAUCGUUAUAAAGUUGGAACAAUGGUGCAACCUUUCAAAUGCUGCUAGUAGCUAGCCUUUGUAGGCUACUUAUUAACAAGCCAGCCUCAUUACACACACAGGGUGGCAUAUAGUUUUAUGAAUAAAGCUAGCCUCAAGGCUGUUGCCUUGUGGAAUAAGCUUUGUGGAUAAACCCAUUGAUGUAAUCUUCCACUGCUAUGAGGUAAAUGAUUUUAUUUUAGGCUAUAGGGUAAAUUUAAUUGAAAUAAAUCUGAAUUGUGAUAUCAA